CUGCUGCCUCCCGUAGGAGUCUGGGCCGUGUCUCAGUCCCAAUGUGGCCGAUCAACCUCUCAGUCCGGCUACCGAUCGUCGCCUUGGUGGGCCGUUGCCCCACCAACUAGCUAAUCGGCCGCGAGCCCAUCUUCCAGCGGAUUGCUCCUUUGGCUGCAUCGGGAUGCCCCAUCGCAGCGUUAUGCGGUAUUACGCAGUCGUUUCCAACUGUUAUCCCCCUNUGAAAGGCAGGUUGCUCA
rnacentral:rRNA from 1 species